GUACCUGAAACCGUUGGUCUACAAACAGUCAAAGCAGACUUGUUCUGCGAUGGCGUGCCUUUUGAAGAAUGAGCCAACGAGUUACGGUGUGUGGCAAGGUUAACCCGAUGAGGGGAAGCCGGAGCGAAAGCGAGUCUGAACAGGGCGUUCAGUCGCAUGCCGUAGACCCGAAGCCGAGUGAGCUAUCCAUGGGCAGUGUGAAGCGGAGGUAAGACUCUGUGGAGGCGCGAACCGACUUCAGUUGAAAAUGGAGCGGAUGACCUGUGGAUAGGGGUGAAAGGCCAAUCAAACUCGGUGAUAGCUGGUUCUCCGCGAAAUGCAUUUAGGUGCAGCGUCGUGCGUUCAACGAUGGGGGUAGAGCACUGAAUGGGCUAGGGGUCCUACAAGACUACCGACCCCAAUCAAACUCCGAAUACCAUCGUUCCAGAGCACGGCAGUGAGACCUCGGGGGAUGAGCUUCGAGGUCGAGAGGGAAACAGCCCAGACCGCCGGCUAAGGUCCCAAAAUCUGAACUAAGUGGUAAACGAUGUGAGAUUGCGAAGACAGCCAGGAGGUUGGCUUGGAAGCAGCCAUCCUUGAAAGAGUGCGUAACAGCUCACUGGUCGAGUGAUCUUGCGCGGACAAUGUAACGGGGCUCAAGUUCAGUACCGAAGCCGCGGAUGCGACUCUUUGAGUCGUGUGGUAGCGGAGCGUCGAGCGUGCAGCGAAGCGGCGGGACAACCCAGCCGUGGAGCGCGUUCGAGUGCGAAUGUUGGCAUGAGUAGCGAAUGAGGGGUGAGAACCCCCUCCGCCGUAUGUCCAAGGGUUCCUGGGCGAGGCCAAUCCACCCAGGGUGAGUCGGGAGCUAAGGCGAGGCCGAGAGGCGUAGUCGAUGCACAACUGGUUGAUAUUCCAGUACCACCAUGUUCGCGUCCGUCCCAAUACUCUGUUGCUAAGGGGCUGAGUUGACUUCGGUCAACGCGAACCGACCCACAUUGUUGCGGGAAGCUGUAGGGGGACGCAGGAAGGUAGAUGAACCCGGUGAAUGGUAGAACCGGGGUAAGCGUGUAGGAGGAGGACCAGGUAAAUCCGGGCCUCAUAAACUCUGAGACGUGAUACCGAGCCGCUUCAGGCGAAGUCAUUGAUCCUAUGCUGCCUAGAAAAGCCCAGCAGCGAGUUGACAUGGUGCCCGUACCCCAAACCAACACAGGUGGACAGGUAGAGCAUACCAAGGCGAGUGGGAUAACUAUGGUUAAGGAACUCGGCAAAUUGCCUCCGUAACUUCGGGAGAAGGAGGACCCCAGUAGCGUGAUGAGACUUGCUCUCUGAGCGUGAAGGGGUGGCACAAAAUUGAGGGAAGCGACUGUUUACCAAAAACACAGCAGCGUGCUAAGCCGUAAGGCGCUGUAUACGCUGUGACUCCUGCCCGGUGCUGGAAGGUUACGGGGAUGGGUUAGUCCUUCGGGACGAAGCUCUGAACCUAAGCCCCAGUAAACGGCGGCCGUAACUAUAACGGUCCUAAGGUAGCGAAAUUCCUUGUCGGGUAAGUUCCGACCUGCACGAAUGGAGUAACGACUUCCCUACUGUCUCAACCAUAGACCCAGCGAAAUUGAAGUACGAGUAAAGAUGCUCGUUAGCUGCAGAAGGACGGAAAGACCCCGUGGACCAUUACUAUAACUUGAUGUUGUGUUUUGU
rnacentral:rRNA from 1 species